UACGUAGGGUGCGAGCGUUAAUCGGAAUUACUGGGCGUAAAGCGUGCGCAGGCGGUGAUGUAAGACAGAUGUGAAAUCCCCGGGCUCAACCUGGGAACUGCAUUUGUGACUGCAUCGCUGGAGUGCGGCAGAGGGGGAUGGAAUUCCGCGUGUAGCAGUGAAAUGCGUAGAUAUGCGGAGGAAUACCGAUGGCGAAGGCAGCCCCCUGGGAUAACACUGACGCUCAUGCACGAAAGCGUGGGGAGCAAACAGG
rnacentral:rRNA from 1 species